CCCCCCCCCGCCUCUAGCCAGUCACUGGUCACACCUGUCAACAUAAUGUUGAGUGAAUCCCAUCCGUGUUUGAGUAAAGCGGGAUGAACCCUGGUUCACUUGAAGGGGCAAUGAGGCCUCUAAAGCAGUGGUCUUAUCUUGUGGUUUGACUCAUGGAGCGCCUGUCUCACAGUGUCUUUCACUCUUUUGGCCUAGCUCACACAAGGUGCGUGAGUGGGUCCUCUGGCCUCACCGACCAUUUUCAGAAAUUUCUCAGGAUAAGGGAAAGAACCAGUUCGCCUGAGCCGCUUGACUUAUAUGAGUUGGCAAGUAAACUGUUUUUCCUGCAGUUGUGCUGGGCUGUCCACCCAAAGUCAAGUCUCCUUGCAGAUUUCUACCAUCACCAUCCCCUUCAGGACCUGUGGUGGCAAAGUCCAGUCCAGGUCAUCCUGUGGGCCUGUACGGAGAAGAGAGUGGAACUGGAACCAACAGUCAAGAGCAGGCAGACAAAUGUUGCUGCGACCAGACGUUGUGUUUCGUGGACAAUAGAUUUCUGGUAUCUGAGUGAGAAAGACCCUUGGCCCUUUCUAGCUCUCAUCUUUGAGCUUGAGUUUCCACAGAUGGAGAUGGGGAGCACACCUUGCUAUCAGGACCAGCAAAUUUCCUCAGCGAUUCCUUCAAUCUCUCUAGAAACCAACUUCUCUACUUCUCCUGUGAUGCCAGGGGAAAGCCGGGCAAUUCGGACUUUGCCUUCUCUGAGCUGCAGUCUUUCCGGCCAACAUGGACACCUUUCGUCAAAGCUGAUGUGGCUCAGCACCAAGUUCAGGCUGGAGGCUUCUUGUUCACUGGCAGUGCCACCAAGAUCUCCUCUGUUCCCUGUCUGUAUAAAGUCACUUGUUUUCUG